UGACAUUCGACUGCGAAAUAGGAAUUCAUGCAAGCGGAAAGUUCAUAUCGAGUAUCUAAGAAGUCUUGCACUUGUGUGUUAAUGUUUCAUAAUCGUAUGUGGUAGUCAUCUUGAACGGCUGUUUUUCGUAAUAAUGGCAGGUUACGUCCCAUAAACUAUGGACAGCCAGCAUAUGCGCCUACUGGCUACGUACCUCAACCUCAGAUGGUGGCAGCUCAGCCUGUAGUAUCUCAGCCUUUUGUUCAACCAGCUAUGGCCACAGCCCCUGUAAUGGCUGCUCCAGUUGCACAGCCUGUAGUUGCCCAACCUAUGGUUCAGCCAGUUGUUCAAUCCCUUCCAGUUGCUCAGCCAGCUGUUUCGAUGGUAUCUGUAUCUCCAAUGGCGGCCGUUGCUCCUACGAUUAUCUACGCGAGAAGAAAUCCUUUCCGACGAGGAUAUUAUUGAGGUUCCGAUUAAGUUUCCUGACAAACUGAUUUUUAACUUGCUGUCCUGGUAUGGAUAAUGGAGCCAGUGUUUUAAGUAAUUUUUAGCAACUAAAUUAAAAUUUGACUACA